UGCAGUCGAGCGGUAACAGGGGAAGCUUGCUUCCCGCUGACGAGCGGCGGACGGGUGAGUAAUGCUUAGGAAUCUGCCCAGUAGUGGGGGAUAGCCCGGGGAAACCCGGAUUAAUACCGCAUACGUCCUACGGGAGAAAGCAAGGGAUCUUCGGACCUUGCGCUAUUGGAUGAGCCUAAGUCGGAUUAUCUAGUUGGUGGGGUAAAGGCCUACCAAGGCGACCAUCCGUAGCUGGUCUGAGAGGAUGAUCAGCCGCAUCGGGACUGAUACACGGCCCGAACUCCUACGGGAGGCAGCAGUGGGGAAUAUUGGACAAUGGGGGCAACCCUGAUCCAGCCAUGCCGCGUGUGUGAAGAAGGCUUUCGGGUUGUAAAGCACUUUCACUAGGGAGGAAAACCUUAUGGCUAAUACC
rnacentral:rRNA from 1 species